rnacentral:sRNA from 1 species
UUUUAGCCCGGAUAGCAGCGGCAUCCUCACGGAGUUUACGGAGUGAGAUACAGCGGAUAGCCGGAGCGGGC